GGAAGGGCCAUAGCUCAGCAGGAGAGCAUCUGCUUUGCAUGCAGAAGGUGCCAGGUUCAAUCCCUGGCAUUUCCA